rnacentral:rRNA from 1 species
CCUACGGGAGGCAGCAGGGAGGAAUAGUGGGCAAUGGGCGCGAGCCUGAACCAGCCAAGUAGCGUGAAGGAUGACUGCCCUACGGGUUGUAAACUUCUGUUAUAAAGGAAUAAAGUGAGGCACGUGUGCCUGUUUGUAUGUACGUUAUGAAUAAGGAUCGGCUAACUCCGUGCCAGCAGCCGCGGUAAUACGGAGGAUCCGAGCGUUAUCCGGAUUUAUUGGGUUUAAAGGGAGCGUAGAGGGGUUGUUAAGGCAGUGGUGAAAGUUUGCGGCUCAACCGUAAAAUUGCAAUUGAUACUGGCAGUCUUGCGUACAGUUGCGGUCGGCGGACUUCUUGUUGUAGCGG